AGUGAACGCUGGCGGUAGGCCUAACACAUGCAAGUCGAACGGCAGCACAGUAAGAGCUUGCUCUUACGGGUGGCGAGUGGCGGACGGGUGAGGAAUACAUCGGAAUCUACUUUUUCGUGGGGGAUAACGUAGGGAAACUUACGCUAAUACCGCAUACGACCUACGGGUGAAAGCAGGGGACCUUCGGGCCUUGCGCGAUUGAAUGAGCCGAUGUCGGAUUAGCUAGUUGGCGGGGUAAAGGCCCACCAAGGCGACGAUCCGUAGCUGGUCUGAGAGGAUGAGCAGCCACACUGGAACUGAGACACGGUCCAGACUCCUACGGGAGGCAGCAGUGGGGAAUAUUGGACAAUGGGCGCAAGCCUGAUCCAGCCAUACCGCGUGGGUGAAGAAGGCCUUCGGGUUGUAAAGCCCUUUUGUUGGGAAAGAAAUCCAGCCGGCUAAUACCUGGUUGGGAUGACGGUACCCAAAGAAUAAGCACCGGCUAACUUCGUGCCAGCCGCCGCCGUAACAC
rnacentral:rRNA from 1 species